ACCUAUUGCUCUUCCUCUUCCUUAUUCUGCUUCAUUUGCCUUGGUCUUCUUGCUCUUCUUUCAACAAACCAAAGCAAAUUCUUGCCUAAGAGCCUCUGUCCUGCACAACAACCUCUCCCUUAGUUAUGUGAAUGACUGGCUCACUCUGCUGAAAUUUUCACUCUGAGGGAGCUCUUCCAUCCGUAACUUUGUUUAAAUAAUCAAUUCCAGGCUCUUCACCCUUUUCUAUGCUUUAUUUUUAUCCAUCACACUUAUUCCCCAGCAUUUUACUAGGUAUUUCUUUAUGAUUUCUCUUCCAAUAGGAUAUGAGUCUUUAGGUGGUGAGGAAUUUCUUCUCUCUCACUUCCUGUUUUUCCUGUUAAAUAGAUGACAAUCUUGACAAUUUCAGUGUAACCCGGCAGCUUUUUGGCAUCUCCCUGGGGUGUUUGCUGAGAACUCAGUGCACCCUGACCUUCAGAUCCCUCUGAGUUGGUAAGCAAUCUUCCCUAGCAUUUAUUUAUGCUGAAGGAGGAGAACAAUGAGAAGCAAUUGAGACCCAAGAGAGCCUGUCGUGUGCAAAUGCAGAAGAACCAAGAAAGCUGUAAAAUUGCCUCCCCUCCCAGCCAGCCCUGUUCGGGAGAAUGGAACCUUCCAUUAACCCUGUUUAAGGGACUGACUUUCCACCUCUGGGAGAGGAUGAAUUCACGUGCACCGAAUGUCUCAAAGGCAGACGUCUGUGAGCCUGCGCUAGUUAAGGAAAGGAUGAUUUCAAGGCAGCUGGGGGUGACAACAGUGUGAUGAUGUCAAUUCAAAUUGUAAGAUUUUUUGAUUGAAGUCGCUCAGCCAU
rnacentral:lncRNA from 1 species